CAAGUCGAGCGGGGAGCAAUCCCAGCGGCGAACGGUCGCAUAACACGUAAGCAACCUGCCCGAAAGACCGGGACAACAGUUCGAAAGGACUGCUAAUACCGGAUGUGCCUGUUGGGAGACAUCUCCUGGCAAGUAAAGCGAGCAAUCGGCUUUCGGAGGGGCUUGCGGCCUAUCAGCUAGAUGGCGGGGUAGUGGCCCACCAUGGCGACGACGGGUAGCUGGUCUGAGAGGAUGGUCAGCCGGACUGGGACUGAGAUACGGCCCAGACUCCUACGGGGGGCAGCAAUUAGGAAUCUUGCGCAAUGGGCGAAAGCCUGACGCAGCGACGCCGCGUGGAGGAGGAAGGCCUUCGGGUUGUAAACUCCUUUUUCGAGGGAAGAAACAAAUGACGGUACCUCGGGAAUAAGCCCCGGCUAACUCCGUGCCAGCAGCCGCGGUAAUACGGAGGGGGCGAGCGUUGUCCGAAGUUACCGGGCGUAAAGCGCGUGUAGGCGGGUUGCCAAGUCCGCUGUGAAAGCCCGAGGCUCAACCUCGGAGGGUCGGUGGAUACUGGUAGUCUUGAAGGUGCUAGGGGGAGAUGGAAUUACCGGUGUAGCGGUGAAAUGCGUAGAUAUCGGUAGGAACACCAGUGGCGAAGGCGGUCUCCUGGGGCAUUCUUGACGCUGAGACGCGAAAGCUGGGGGAGCGAACGGGAUUAGAUACCCCGGUAGUCCCAGCCCUAAACUAUGGAUACUAGGUGUCGGGGGUAUCGACCCCCCCGGUGCCGCCGCUAACGCAGUAAGUAUCCCGCCUGGGGAGUACGGCCGCAAGGUU
rnacentral:rRNA from 1 species